rnacentral:rRNA from 1 species
GGACUACACGGGUAUCUAAUCCUGUUUGCUCCCCUAGCUUUCGUGCCUUAGUGUCAGGAGUUGUCCAGGGACUCGCCUUCGCCACUGGUGUUCCUCUCGAUAUCUACGCAUUUCACUGCUACACCGAGAAUUCCAGUCCCCCCUCCAACCCUCCAGCCGGAUAGUAUCCAAUGCAGUUUCGGAGUUAAGCUCCGAGAUUUCACAUCAGACUUACCCAGCCACCUACGCACCCUUUACGCCCAGUGAAUCCGAACAACGCUUGGGACCUCUGUAUUACCGCGGCUGCUGGCAC